GUGCUCAGGCGAAUCCUUUGGCUGUUGGAUGUUUGAGAAGGAAUCUGCAAAUGAUCUCUCACCGCUGAAGCCAGGAAAGUGAAAGAGAACAGAACGAAGAGAGACGAGAACCCGGAAACCUCCUGGCAACUGUGAGGUCAGUAUAAACCCCUGACUUGGACCCGGCCCCGAAGGAACUCGUCUGAGAGCGGAGGCGACUGCCUUACGCAGGGGCAGCGGAGGGUCCGGCUACGGAAAAGGCACGGGGCCAAUCGGCUGCGCAGCCGGACACGCUAGGAUCCAGGAGUGAGCGGACGAGCUGUAGCAGCCGGCUGCUUGCUGGGUCGCAAAGAGAUCCGCUUCUGAUGCCCGUCCUGGGUUUCGGCACCAAAAUGUGAGCCCAUGUAUUCUUCUUGCAUCUGCUACCACCUGCACCUCCUGUACCUUCAUGAUUUAAGAUGUUUUUCAGCUGGGCUUGAAUGGAUCCAGAUGAUAUUCGCUGAGAGCAGCUGGACUUCACUUUAAGCCAAAGGCUGAUUUUAAGUCAUUUUCAUUUCUUGCUGCAUUCUGGGCCUACUAGGAGUUGGACAUGCUCUUCUUGUGGUAGAAGAUGAGAUUGCAAGAGCUAAAAUUCACCCACACAAGCACAUCUAUAGCUUCUAUUCACACAGUAGUCACAAAAAGUAAAUUGUAUAGAUAAACACAGGAUCAUUUGAGUGGGAAAGUACACUCUUCCCACAGAGGAUGGAAGAAAAUGAAUAUUUGCUAAAUAUUAAUAUUAAUGCAUUCUACUACAUUUCCUGAUUGUCACACCUUUAAAGGGCUAAAGACUCACCCUUAUUUCUGCCAAACCUGAGUUAUCAAGUGCCAAGUACUAUGAAAAAUCUGAUAUAUUUAGCCUACUUGCAAGUUAGCAACGUAGCCUACCACAGUUUCAUAAAAGCUGGAAAAAUAUUCAAGACUUCUGGAUCAGAGGCAAAGGACUUUAUUAUUCAUUAAUACAAUGCAGCAAAGAAAAUGAUUUUCCCAUUCUUGUAUGUUCCACAAGUGCUACACACAUGGUGGGGUUAUGUCACAGCUGAAGAACCUCAAGUUUAAGAAACCCGCCAGUCUUUUAAAAGAACUACUAGCAAACCUGUCCAAAUUUUGCUUGAGAGGGAAACAUUAUCCUAUCCUAGUCAGGAAACAAAUCUAGUGUAUCUUCUGAAGGGAGGCACUGUAUCUAUCUUCUAAAUGUAUUUGCUGUAUGAAUAUUUUUAAAAAGAUAUUCUAGAACAAAAUUGAUAUAAGACAUUGAGGACUAAAAUAAAGGUCCCAAACCCUCCAUCAGACUAAUGAACCCUUUCCUGGCUGAGAUACUAAAUUUAAAGCAAGAUAGGAGGAUGGUCACAUCUCAUUCACUUUUACUUCCACCCUUCACUAAGAAUUACCAGACUUUAUCAAUGGACAAUUUGAGAAAAACAAAAGGCCAGAAGACUUUUUGCUUAAUUCACCUGACACUUUGCUUAAUUCGCAGACACCCUGCUCCUGUGGUUCUGAAACAUCAGCUCCCCUAGACCUCAAAGCAGUUUUUUAAAGGAUGACUGCUGAUUGCGGACUGGUUUUGGCUGGUCUUCUGAGAAUGUCCAGUUCAUCAACUUGUACACUGAAUUUCACUGUUUACAUAUAAGGAAGGCUAAUUAUAAUGCAUUUAAAUGUUAAAUUUCCAUUCCAAAGUGAAUAUGGGUCAUAUAUUCUCGUGUUACAUGUAUGUAACCCUAAUGCACAUGCAUGAGGACUUCCUCUAUGAAUAUUCAUAUUCUUCUCCUAUAUCCUAUUCAAUAUGUAUGCACUACUUCUCUUUCUAGCACAUAUACCUACGUCCACUUUCUCCUCUUUGAAGUGUAGCUUUACGGUUCUGACCAGAGGCUUGCUUCCCAUCUGCAGGACAUAAAACCCUUAGAAAUAAAG